AGUGAACGCUGGCGGUAGGCCUAACACAUGCAAGUCGAACGGCAGCACAGUAAGAGCUUGCUCUUACGGGUGGCGAGUGGCGGACGGGUGAGGAAUACAUCGGAAUCUACUUUUUCGUGGGGGAUAACGUAGGGAAACCUACGCUAAUACCGCAUACGACCUACGGGUGAAAGCAGGGGAUCUUCGGACCUUGCGCGAUUGAAUGAGCCGAUGUCGGAUUAGCUAGUUGGCGGGGUAAAGGCCCACCAAGGCGACGAUCCGUAGCUGGUCUGAGAGGAUGAUCAGCCACACUGGAACGGAGCCACGGUCAAGACUCCUACGGGAGGCAGCAGUGGGGAAUAUUGGACAAUGGGCGCAAGCCUGAUCCAGCCAUACCGCGUGGGUGAAGAAGGCCUUCGGGUUGUAAAGCCCUUUUGUUGGGAAAGAAAAGCAGCAGGUUAAUACCCCGCUGUUCUGACGGUACCCAAAGAAUAAGCACCGGCUAACUUCGUG
rnacentral:rRNA from 1 species